rnacentral:lncRNA from 1 species
UUUGGUUACCAAUUUUCUUUUGCAUUCCACAAAAAAGAGAGAAAAAAGAGAGAGUUUUCUUUGCCUUUAAGUACUUAAACACAGAUUAUUUUCACUUUUUUAAUACAGUUUCUUAUUGUAACAUUUUCAGUGGCAUACACAUCACGUUGAAACGCUUGUUCCAGAUGUGCUUGCUUAAAAGAAAAAAAAAGAAAAAAAGAAAAAAAAAAUUAUUUUGGUGUAUGUCAAGAUGGUUUUUGUGCCUUUUUAAUUUCUUAAAAUUAAGUUUACAGAAUUAGGUAAAAAGUUUAAUUAGAUCAAAUUACUGUAGCUACAUAGUAUUAAGAUUCAUAUGCCAUUAAGAUUAAUUAGGUGCUGAGACUGCACUGUAGCUACAUAGUAUUAAGAUUCAUAUGCCAUUAAGAUUAAUUAGGUGUUAGUUUAAAUGUUAAGCAAAUAUUAGACAAUAUUUAGAGUUACGGCUAUAUUUAGAUUCUGGGAGGUGACAGGAACAUUCAACCCACCUCUAUCUUUAUUCUGGUCUAGGAGUGUAUUAUGGAUGUUACAUGGUCUACGCCACUGAACCUGUUCUCUUAGAUCAGGCACACUGCCUGGCAGUUCCUCUGAUGAUACAAUGGGAUGAGAAAGUACCACUCGGGUGGAGACCACUGGAUCAUCCUGAUAUCGAGAAAGACGUGGCUGUACAGGACACCAGCAGGAUUCCUUCACACUCUCAAACAUGCAAACUGAGCAAUGCUGUUCAAUAAGGUAUAUGCAACUUAAAUGAUAGCUCUUCCACAACAGAUUUUAGGAAUGGUCUCUAUGCUCCCUAUCCAUCUGAAUUUAUUGAUCAGAACAGUAAAAUCAUCCCCCAGUGUAUUUGAUAUUAAAAAGUGUAAACCUUGUGUGUAAAAGCAAAGCUACCAUUUGUUAACCAGGAUUAAGCAGUGAGGGUGUGAACACACUUUUCGCUUUAUAAACAAAAGCUAGCUCUGGCUAUAACAGACAGAAAAACUUCCAUUGAGUAACUUUUGGUGAAUCAGACAUAUAACAUUAGGAUAAUCAGUGAAAUCACCACUAACCACUUUACAAAUCAGAUUAAAGAAAUAUGGAAUUAGUAAAUCAGAGGGGUUACCUGGAUUCAAAAUGACACUUGACUGUGGUUAGUUGUAGGAAGACCUGGACGGCAAACACAAGUAGAGAAAAACUGGAAAGAUGCUUGUUUUUGUGAGGAACCAAACUCUCUACGCUUGUUAAAUAUUAACCUCAGUGGAUGAGGUUUCAGGUGGGAUUAGUUUGCUUGAAUGGCCGACACAAGCUGCAGACUGUCAUCAGGUUUCCAAUGUGUGAGAUAGAGAUUGUAACUAGAUCUAGACAGGUCUAUCUCUCUAGUACAGUGCUAAUGGAAAACCUGCACUGUGGUCAUCUGUCAGGUUUGUGAAUUACUGUCUUUCCUUAAUAAUGUAUUACAAUGUAUUACAUUUUUUUUCAUGAAUUGGGAACCAUGUGAUCAGACAUCAUCUUCUCAUGACCUGCCUAGUAUCUGUCUUCAUGCACCUGCAUUGUUAAAAUAAAAAAAGUAAAAAAAAAAAAAAAAAAAAAAAAAAAUUUAAAUGGACAGUAAAAGAAUGCCAUCUGAAAUACAGUAUUCAUAUGCAUACAGUCUAUGAAAGAAACAAUGCAGAGAAUUCUGAGAAGAACAAAAAAUAUAUGCAUUGAGUAUAAAAAAUAAAAAAAAAAAAAAAAAAAAAAAAAAAUUUAAAAAAUAGGCAGUAAAAGAAUGCCAUCUGAAAUACAGUAUUCAUAUGCAUACAGUCUAUGAAAGAAAACAAUGCAGAGAAUUCUGAGAAGAACAAAAAAUAUAUGCAUUGCCUUGUUAAUUUAAUAUCAAUUUCUUCUGUAAAUAAUCAUAAAAAAUGUGUGCUUGUAACUUCU